CCAAGAUCCAUUUCCGUCGGAACUUUCAAAACUGUAUUUAAAGCACGAGUGAACCCACAUUGUCCCUUGUCCCUUGUCCCACGUUGUUAGUAACUUGACUCUGGUUUGAAUUAUGCGUAUCUCUGGGCCAACGCCAUUAUUAUCCACGAUACCUUAUGGUUUUACAUGAAUCGAAUUGAUAUUUCAAGCUGUGAAAUGGUCUCUUGAACUUUACAAUGGGGUUCCAUACCCCUUAGCCCUUGAAUGGAUUCUUCGGGCUUGGUCUUCUUACAAGAUCUAAUUGCUAACUGCUGAUCUUACCACCGAAUCUGGUUUUGAAGUGAUGUUGGUGAAUGAUUCAAUGAAAUUAAUCUUGAAAAUGUAUUGUGAAUUUGAAUUUACAUUUUAAUUGAAGAAACUGUUAAUAAAUAAAUAAUCUAUUGAUAUAA